GACGAACGCUGGCGGCGUGCUUAACACAUGCAAGUCGAACGGAAAGGCCCUGCUUUUGUGGGGUGCUCGAGUGGCGAACGGGUGAGUAACACGUGAGUAACCUGCCCUUGACUUUGGGAUAACUUCAGGAAACUGGGGCUAAUACCGGAUAGGAGCUCCUGCUGCAUGGUGGGGGUUGGAAAGUUUCGGCGGUUGGGGAUGGACUCGCGGCUUAUCAGCUUGUUGGUGGGGUAGUGGCUUACCAAGGCUUUGACGGGUAGCCGGCCUGAGAGGGUGACCGGCCACAUUGGGACUGAGAUACGGCCCAGACUCCUACGGGAGGCAGCAGGGGGGAAUAUUGCACAAUGGGCGGAAGCCUGAUGCAGCGACGCCGCGGGCGGGAUGACGGCCUUCGGGUUGUAAACCGCUUUCGCCUGUGACGAAGCGUGAGUGACGGUAAUGGGUAAAGAAGCACCGGCUAACUACGUG
rnacentral:rRNA from 1 species